rnacentral:rRNA from 1 species
UGGGGAAUCUUGGACAAUGGGGGCAACCCUGAUCCAGCGAUGCCGCGUGGGUGAAGAAGGCCUUCGGGUUGUAAAGCCCUUUAGGUUAGGAAGAAGUAUAGGUAGAAGAAAAGCUAUUUAUAUUGACGGUACUAACAGAAUAAGCACCGGCAAACUCUGUGCCAGCAGCCGCGGUAAUACAGAGGGUGCGAGCGUUAAUCGGAAUUACUGGGCGUAAAGGGCGCGUAGGCGGUGAUGAAAGAGUGAUGUGAAAGCCCUGGGCUUAACCUAGGAAGUGCAUCGCUAACUACAUUGCUGGAGUUUAGGAGAGGGUGGUGGAAUUUCCGGUGUAGCGGUGAAAUGCGUAGAGAUCGGAAGGAACGUCGAUGGCGAAGGCAGCCACCUGGCCAGAAACUGACGCUGAGGCGCGAGAGCGUGGGGAGCAAACAG